rnacentral:rRNA from 1 species
CUCAAAGAUUAAGCCAUGCAAGUGGUUAUAUUUAACCCGACAGUUUAAAUAAGUGUUAUAUAUAUUAUUAAUACAUACACCCACGUGAUAAUUUACGCAUACCACUUACGCAACUGCAGACAGCUGCUUAAUACAGUCACACUUGUCUUGACUUGGCACCCAACCCGACAUACAUAUAUUAUUACCCACAUACACGCCCAACAAUAAUAUAUGAGUGUAUUGAUUUCUCUGUACACGCAGCGCUUAUUCAUACGAUUAAUUUUUGCGUUACACAGUGACAAUUUUUUUCAUCUUAUGGAUAACUCAGGGAAAGUUUGGCUAAUACGUACGAGACCACACACAAACACACACACAAUACACACAUUUACUCAGCACUCAAUGGUAAACUUUGAUUCACGCUUGCCGUGUUAUCAACACAAGUUUAACUGCAACAUGAGAGACAUUGAGCACGCCGUAUUGUUACUUCAUUGUAAUGAUACAUCCGCUGAGCAGACUUUGCGAAUUUCACAUUUGCGAAGCAUGUCAUACAAGCAUCUACAGCAUCAAGUCACAGGGUUGGCAAGUGUAUUUUUGAACCCUCAAAGCAGUAACGGCAUACGGAAGAGUAGUUUCUGAUCCCAUAGAAGGAGUACCGUACAAUGAGAGACCGCUCUUAGUUCUAAGGAACGCAGCAGGCGCGUAAAUUGCCCAAUGUUAGUACCCUACACUAAUACAUAUAAUAUAUAUUUUUUUCUGUCACACACGACAACACACAUACAUCCUUGUUAUAUAUCUCAUGUAUUUAUUUACUGAGGCAGUGACAAGCUGUAACGGUUGAGUAUAAAAAUGACGAGUGUCUGGCAUUGCCGCUCUUUCGGGAGCUUGGCAAUUUUGCCGACGCUUUGUGUGCUCAAUUGGAAUGCGGUGAGUUUAAGCAACUCAGAACCUUUGGCUUCGGUGUCUCUCUACGAUUCACCAUGUCAUGUAUCUGAAUUUUCAAGUGGAGGGCAAGUCUGGUGCCAGCAGCCGCGGUAAUACCAGCUCCACUGGCCUAUACAAUCAUUGUUGCGGUUAAGAGGCUCGUAGUUGGAUUGAACAAAACUAUCAUAUGAUAGUUUAGUUAUUAUCUCGACACGAUAUAUAUACACACACCACACACACAUAUACGUUUCGAUACACACUAAUAUUAUCAUAUUUUCAACACUGUGAACAAAUCAGAGUGUAUCAAACAUGUCGUUUUCUUGAAUGUGCAUUGAAUGUCUUAUCAUGGGAUGUUGCCAUAUUCAUAUAUUAACCUCGGUUAAAGAUUACGACACACAUAUAUAUCGUAUAUUAUAAUCUUUAACGGUUAUAAAAUGUCGAUGGGGAUAGUUGGAGUCAACAGUACUGCUGGGCGAGAGGUGAAAUUCAUUGACCCUAGCAAGACUACCAAAAGCGAAAGCAGUUGGCUAGGCUAUACUCUUUGUGAUUUAUACACACGUAUACGUAUAUACCCCACACACAUAACCCACACAUAUAUAUAUAUACGCAGUAUAUCUAACACUUUACAAUGAAGAACGAAGGUUGGGGGAUCAAAGAGGAUCAGAUACCCUCGUCGUCCCAUUUGUUACAUCAAACGAUGGGCUCUCAAUUGCAUUUCUCGUCAGAGAUAUGUAAUACAUCCUCAGCCUACAAAAUAUUCACAUAGCUUGAGCUUGUGUUUAACUUUCGGGUGACACGCUCGCUAUAACGAUUUAUUUUCGUAUGGUCUCGACGGACGUUUCAUAUCCUUAUACAAUAUUUUGCGUGUAAGCUUUAUGUCAUAUACUUGAAACAUAGUACAUACAUAGCGUGCACUUGAUUUUCGGAGCUUUGCGCUCAAAUUAUUCUGGUGAGAUGUAAGCAUCAUGUUCUGAUACCCGCUCACAUAUACCUUCGGGUAUUUUGCUCGAUGCGCUGCGUAUCUUAACAAUUUAUCGAUGUGAAGCACGCAUUAGGCACGCGCUUACUGCAGAAAUGUCUGAGACACUCUCCUCCUGGGGUAGUAUGCACGCAAGUGUAAAACUUGAAGGAAUUGACGGAAGGGCACCACAAGAACGCGUGGAGCAUGUGGCUUAAUUUGACUCAACGCGGGAAAUCUUACCGGGUCCGGACACACUGAGGAUUGACAGGUAACAUCGAAUACACGACCUCUUGUGUACUCGUAUAAAUAUGCUAGUCCUUUCAUGAUUAUGUGAUAGGUGGUGCAUGGCCGUUCUUAGUUCGUGGAGUGAUCUGUCUGCUUAAUUGCGUUUCACUAUUGGGUUUAUAUUACAUAUAUCUGUAUAUCGCUUUGACCCUGUCUCUUCACUGAGAUACAGCGUGUCUCACAAGCAUACACAAUAUAUAUUAGACCCUGAAAGCAACGAACGUGACCGCAACCUCUUGUUGCUUUCAUACCCAAAUAUAUGUGUAUACUCGUAUACUCGUAUAUUAAGAAAGCCUCGUAUAUAUCAUAAUACGAUUUUCUCUCACGAGUAUUUUUGUAAUAUUGGUAUAUAAAACUAGAGGGACCGCUGUUAUCUUCUUAAACCAGAGGAAGGUCGCGGCAAUAACAGGUCUGUGAUGCCCUUAGAUGUUCCGGGCUGCACACGUGCUACAAUGAUUAUUGCAGUGAGCAUCUCAUUUUUUUUACUACAUCGCAUGCGCGAGACUACAAUUUUACACUCUCGAGUGUAUAACUGCAUCUCUGCGCGCGAUUAAGCCUACUUCGAAAGUAAGCGGGUAAUCAAUUAGAAGUAAUGAUUUCCUAUUUUUCCUGCACAAUUAUAUAUGGCGUAUAUACCCGGCGUACCUUGUUGUACGUUCUUUGUGCGUAUGUAUGACUUUUUUCCAUAUGUGCAAUUGUCAAUUCAUGGUGGGGACAGACCAUUGUUUCAAUUGUUGGUCUCGGUCUUAACUAGGAAUGCCUUGUACGGGUCUUUGGUUCAACAAACCACCCGGAAUACGUCCCUGCCCUUUGUACACACCGCCCGUCGCACUUACCGAUGGACUUCUCUGUGAGUUUGAGGGACUGCUUGAUACGCGUAUCACUACGCAUAUCUUAGGAAACUUAAACGAACAGUGUGGUCUAAAGGAAAGAGAAGUCGUAACAAGGCAUCAGUAAGUGAACCU